AGGUGCUUAGAGAUGAGUGUGCGUCUGAUUAGCUAGGUUGGUGCGGUAACGGCGCCACCGAAGGCGACGAUCAGUAGGGGGCGUGAGAGCGUGGACCCCCACACGGGUACUGAGACACGGACCCGACUCCUACGGGAGGCAGCAGUAAGGAAUAUUGGUCAAUGGAGGAAACUCUGAACCAGCCAUCCCGCGUGCAGGAAGAAUGCCCUAUGGGUUGUAAACUGCUUUUAUCUGGGAAGAAAAGUCGGGAUUUAUCCUGAUCUGACGGUACCAGAGGAAUAAGCACCGGCUAACUCUGUG
rnacentral:rRNA from 1 species